UGUGGAUGCGUCUCUCGAAGACUCGCGUGGACUCUCUGCCUCCACCGCCCACGGCUCGACCGUCGAGGCACCGCUUCACCGCCGUACCUCCCUAUAAAAUGGCUCCCGCCUCUCAAGCUUGCUCCAGCGCCCAUGCCCAUCACGCAGCGCCCACACGCGCCAGCAUUGCCACGGCGGCUUGGUUCCCAUCCGACCGUGAAGCAGAGCUGCGCGGUGAUGGCGACGCCCAGCGCAGGACGCCGCGACAACAGGCAGGAGGCCAUGAAGGGGCUCACGUAGCGAUGGCGGUGCGCGGCUAGGAGGACCAGACCUCGCGCUGCGACGGCGGCAGGUGCGUGCUAGCGGUGGCCCUGAGAGGGGACUUGCGGCGUGACUGUGGCAUGCGGCAGCGGGGAUCUCCCCAGCCUCUCCUACCCCUCUUCUGAUGUGGGGAACAUGGAUUACCGGUUUUCUGCUGAAUCUUUAGUCGUGUGGAAACAGCGUCUCGGAAUGGACGCGACGGUCCCUCAAAAAAAAGAAAGGAAUGGACGCGACGGUGCGGUCACCGGCGCCCUGCGUCCUCCACCGGUGUCUCAUGCUCAUGGCUCAUGCCCCUGCCCACUUCCUUCCGCCGUCCACACUGCCUCCGUCUCAGCCAGUGGAUGUUCAUAUGCCGCAUAACAAGUGCGGCGGCGACCAUGGUCUGUCCCGCUCCGCCAGUCCUUUCUUCCGGUGGCUUACUUACUACUCACGCAGGUGGAGUUCAACAUGGAGGAGCUUGCCAUGUCCCAAGCAUCAUUUUGGGCGUAGCUGCCCACCUCUGUGUGACGACUGCUCCAAUGCAGACCAAGUGUUCGGCGUAAUGUCAGAACGGCCACAGUGAUGAGGAUACAUCAGUUCGUGAUGAGCUUAGAGGUCGGUGUAGUGCCAGAAGACGGCGACCAGUGGCGGGCGCUCGCGCACUGCUUCUGGGAUGUGACACAGCCAAGACCAACAAGGAUGACGAUCAUGUUCCUAUUUCCAGUGGGUUCGUUCAAGUGGUAUGGACGCGGCCAGGCAAUUUAUGAAGUUUGCUGGAGCAGCCGUUGCGUACUAUCCCAUACUCUCUGUCGAUAGACACCCUUCUCCCACGCCGACGCCGGUCGCCGGGAUACCGUCCCAUCCAUCACCAUGCAAAAGCGCUCUAAUCCUCUAGACAGUACUGCUCACAGCAGUUGCAGGUGCGGAUGCAUUGCCCACAGCCGUGGAUGCCGCUGUCCCGUACCGAGGACGUGCAGUCAUGUUUUAGAUUAUGAUUGUGCAAAGGAAUAUGUCAGAAAAUGACGGCCCGCAAUUUUGUACCAAAAUACUGAACAUCUUCUGAUUUUACUGGAAGAUUGAUGUGGGCAUUGAUGUUAUUGCAAUGAAAGCUGAUAUUUUUUUCAUUCACAUUUUUGAAGACUGGAGUUUCAGCAGCACCGCACCAUUAAUUAGCUUCCUGCAAGUGACUUGUGAUUGCAGCUGAUGAAGCCGUCAACCAUUGGGGGCACGGAAUUGUCGAGCUCAAGGUUCGUCACCCUUGUUUCUAAAGGGAAGGUAAAGUUGGGGGUGCCAAUCUCUGAGGAUUUUCUCAAUGGUGAGCACUUCCCUUUUGUUUCUCUUGUUCUGAUCUUUACCUCAAGUCGGCAAUAGUCCCUAUUGCACUGCUUGGAUUGAUCUCUCAUUGUAGUCACUACUGUUAUUUAAUAUAAUAAUAAGACACUUUUUUUUAUUCCGCAUGCAGUAUUGUUUGCUUGCACGAACAAGAUUUAUAAGUUGUUAUUUAGAAUAUAUAAGUUUGCCUGUUCAUUCAGAAGAUUGUAUUAGCUAUUCAAUUCAUAGUUCAACCUUUGAAUAUACAGUUUUGGCUCAGUAGUUUGAGCCUCCGUUGUGCAACUGGAUCAUGGUAGACAUCCAGACCUGCAUCUGUGUUUUAUUUUAUUAUCCUUUCUAGAAACUGACACGCUGCCUUUGUUGCCUAAACCGGUGCUUUAGUUAAAUGAUAAAUUUACUAUAAAGAUUUCUCUUUGACCGCCGGUGCUUUAGUUAAAUGAUAAAUUUACUAUAAAGAUUUUUCUUUGACCGUUAUAUGAAAAAAUGUACUUACAUGUGAUUGCUAUCCAGAUUAGUCAGUUCAUCCUGCAAAUAACUGUGGGAUACAUUACUGAUACUUCCUCAAUCAUUGUAGUGAAAUAAUACAAGAUGAUGAACCGACUGAACUCUAGAGUUUCAGUUAAGUGCGCAGUUAAAGAAAAAUUGUAAUACCUCGGAUGCAGCUCAAAGGUCAAAUAUCAUGAUAUGGAGUAGGCAUUAAACCUACCUUAUCUACUUGAUUUUUUUGUUGCAAAUAGUCGUCUAUCUUAUCUGUACAUGGCUGAUUAGGAAGUAGUACAGUACCCGCAUGUUUAACAGUUGUCAGAUUGUUUCUCUACAUAGUUGAUUGUGUAUUGAGACGGGAGGCCAAGUUCAAUUUGUGGAUCUGAUUUGGUCAGACUGGCGGCAUUUCUUAAUUUCUGAUUCCUGUUUAUGUUUGGUUUUGAUUAUAAUGUCCUGUGUGAAGAGCAUUAGAAUAGACAAGCAAGCAAGCCUUUUGACACUCCAUGGUGUGUAUUUUGUUUCUCUGAGCGAUGUUGUCUAUGAUUUUGAAUUUGAACGGGUCCGUGGCUUCUGUUCACUGAAGAAUAAAUGCAUGGAUAGAUGAUAGCCUUUUUUUCCUUUGGAUUAAAGAAAGGAUUAGUAGUACCUGUAAUUGAUUUUUCUUCUUGGUAUUCAAACAAGAACAAAUCAUUGCUGAUGUUUAAACUCUAUAGAAUUCCUACAUUCUAAUCUUUCUCUUAAACUUCUGGUGAUCUGGAGCUGUAAAUUAUUUAUUCUGGCACAUCUAACUGCUGCUUCUUUUUCAAUAAAAUCCACCCUUUAUCGAAAAAAAACUGCUGCUUCUUUUGCCUAGCCUCCUUUCAAUGAAAUAUUUCCAGUCAGUAGACUAUACUUGCUAUUCUAAGCACAUACAGGCCUAGGGAUGUCCACUAAGAGAAGGUGCAACAAAUUCACUUGGUUUGUGAAUGUCCUUGGGGUUUGUAUGCCAGGUUAUCUUCAAGCCAUAGAAGCACCGUCGAGCCCUGGAGCUGUUGCGACAAUGCCGUCCCAGACACCGGCGUCCUCUUCCAUGCCCCGGCCAUCCAGGAGGAGUGCCACGACUAUCACAGUUCUCAACACGGCGUCCUCCGGGAUGUUGAUCGUGUCCUUGCACCGGCGGCAUCCGGAGCCUGAGAGGGACGCCCAGAGAGACAUGGCCUUUGAUUGGAGCAUUGCAGGCAUCGAUCCUCUUUGUGGUAGCCAUGGGUAGAGCUCAGCCCCGUGAGCUGCAGUUCACCAGUUGAUUCCUCACCUGUAAGCCGAGGAAGAAGGAAAAUGGUUUGUGCUAUAUAUACGACUGAACUGGACAAUCACAUAAAAGGUAGAUAUUUCCACAUCUAAUUUAUUUUGUGUAGUCUGGGUACUCUUCCCCAUAGUGCUUGCUUUGAUUUUUGUUGUUCAGUUAAAUCAUUCACAUGAGUACCUCAAUUUAAUUAACAGUGUAAGUUGAUUGUGAGGCUGUGUAUUUUUUGUUGGAGAAGAAAGUACCAUGACAUGUAACUCAUUUGCACUUAGUGAAUUUCAGUUGGCAGUUUAA